UGUUCCGUCUACUAUAUGCAA
rnacentral:piRNA from 1 species